UCAACCAUUGUUGGCCUAUCUUCCGGUGAGUUGUUGACACAUUCUAAGGUAAGUUGUGCAGAGGCAUGCAAUUGCUGUUCUUUCUCAAUGCAUGAUACGUCUUGAACAAUUAUAGGAGCUGCUAUCUCAGUAAAUCUUUUAUCUUCAAGAUAGUUAUUCAAAUAUUCAUUGAAAAAACAGCCAUGAUCAUGUGUAUCCUUAAGAAGAUCCCAGAUGUGUAUCCGUCCAGUUAAAAGCUGAAAUAGAAAUGCACCAAAACUAAAAACAUUGGACUUUUCGUUUAAAACACAUAUGCUUAUGUACUCAGGUGCAGAAUAUCCCCGUGUUCCAAUCACUCUGUCAGUAGUAAUGUGGGUUUCACCUUCAGGAAUGGAUAUGGAUAGUAAAAAGUCAAACCAUUUUGCAACAUUUUCUUCAUUGAACAAGAUAUUUUGUGUCUUGAGAUUUCUUAAAACAAUUGGCCUGGGGAAUCCAAAGUGAAGAUAAGCAAGUGAAUUAGCAAUACCCCUUGCAAUCUUUAACCUGGAUGGCUUGAUUUCUAUAGUAAUGGUUCAAACCGAGGUAGAGGAGCGCCGAAAAUACAAUCACGAAGAGUCCCAUACUCUACAGAUUCAAAAACUAGAAUGGGAAUUGGAGUCUGUAAGCAGCAUCCAAUUCGCUUUAAAAUAUGAUUGUGGCUCAUUUGUGCUGCAUAUGUGAUGUUGUUAAGACAACUUUCGUGUGUAUGACGACGGUAUUCAUGACCAUAAAACUUCAUAACUGAAAUUAGGAACUCCUACCAAAAACCCUCGUACAAUUUAUAUAUGCUGCCUGUCUUAUAACUUUUCUCUUGUCAUAGUUGUUAGUUGCAAUCUUGAGUUCUUUAGCAGAAAAGAUACAAGGAUUAUAUUUACCAUUAGAAGACGCUAUUAACUCUUUUAGUACACUCGUGCCAUUCCUCACCAUCAAUGUUCUUCUAUCAUUCCUGUCCCUGAAUUUUCUUAUAAUUGCACCCAUCUAGAAGUAGAAACCAAUUCAAAUAUUGCAGUCAGUUCGUUUUAUUUAUAUGCUACUAUUUCAUUCAUAAAUGUAUAGCAAUAAAAUUAAAAAAAAAAAAAAAAAGAGAGAGAGCAAAGUUGCUGAAUACUAAUAACAAGGAGAAGAGUAUAUGUGUGGGUGUGGACAUGCAGCAAAUUGAUUAAUUACGAAAACGCUAUGCUUGAUCUUGAUCUUUGCUACUGCAAGAGUUAGUUAAGAUUCUGAUGUUGAUUAAAUUGAGUCAUAUAUAUAUAUUUUUCUGUUAAUCAUGAAUAAUUAUAAAAUUUGUUUGUCUAAUUAAUGCUUAAUUUAAUUUGAAAUACAAUAUGAAAAUACAAGGUCUUCCCCUAUUCAACCAAGGAUAUCCGACGCAAGAGGGAAAGAAAUAGCCCACAUGGCUAAGCGUGGAAUGAAUUCUUUUACAAUGAUUUUUUUUUUAUUUUUUGAGAAAUAUGUUAAGAAAUAAGAACAUAGAACAUAAGUAAUGUAAAUGGAACAUAAAAUAUAAGUGACGUAAAUAAAAGGUAAUACAAAUAAAACAUGUACAUAUCUUAAGAAAUAAGAACAUAAAACAUAAAUAAAAAGUAAAACAAAUAAAACAUGUAAGUAUCUUGAGAAAUAAGAACAUAAAACUAAUAUUAAUAUGGAACAUAAAAUAUAAGUGACAUAAAUAAAAGGUAAAAAAGUAAAGUUUAUUAACAUAAAGAGAACGUACUUAAAAAGAAAUUAAAGCAAGCUGAUGAUGACAAUUGACAAGAAGCUAGGAUGUACCUGUGGACGGGUGAGAGGUUUGAUCUUUCGAUGUACCUGCGGACGGUGAGAGGCUUGAUCUUUUGAGAGACAUUGUUGCAAUUUCUCAAGCAAAAUUUGAACAGAAAUGUAAGCUUCUAAGAAAUUCGGAAGUCAACCAUAAGUUAUUCAAAGUCCGGAGAAAAAUAUUGUUAUAGCAUCAUAAACGCGGUCACCAGAGAGGCACUGUGUGCACGCUGCAAUCUCUCAAGGGUAUGGGAAAUUUACGAAAAUAACCAUAAAACUUUUGUUAUUUUCACAAUUAAUCCUCUCAAUUUUUUUCUAUCAACAUUAGCCAAACACACGCUUUUCUCCCCAAAUUACCCUUCUUUAACUUUCUUUCUCCCCUUUCGUCAAACCAAAGACAACUUUCCACUAUUGAAUCAUCAACCAACAGCGACGGCAAAAUGUAACGAUAAAAGUGAAAUCCGAUCAUAAUUUAUCCGGAUCCAACACUAAUCGGCAUCACAUAGUGGUAUGAGUUAUUUUCUGAACUUGAUCGAGAGUUUCGAAACUGCGAGUCGUGAGUGAAUCUGACGAAAGACUGCCUGUCGCACGAAGCUUGGUGCGACAGAUUGCCUGUCGCACCAAAACUUAGAGCGACAGGCGCCUGUCGCACGAAGCUUGGUGCGACAAGCAAUUUUGGACCUGCCAACGUUAAGUGGCAGCACCAAAAAUGGGAAAUCGUUUGGCUUCGUAUACGUUGUUCCAGUAAAAGAUGGGAAGAAGAAUGUACAUGACCAAGGCAAAACCAACUAAAGUAUUGACAAUGGCAAACAAUGGUGCAACAGGCUGGUGCGACAGGCUGCCUGUCGCACCAACAUUAUUUUCUGGAAUGCUUGCCUGUUGCACCAACAUUGUUUUCUGGAAUGCUUGUCAUUAACCAUGAUCUAUUUGGCAUAUACUUUGCCUGAAAUAAAGGGUACGGUGGUUAUUAAACAACUUUAACUCUAUGGAACAAAUGUUUACAUCACGUGCAUCAACUGAUUAAGAUGCCACUUUAUGAUUAAUUUUUCCGUAAGACUGCCUGUGAGGCAUGUAGGUGUCCAGACUUGUGUUUCACCCUCUUCUUUUUCCUUUUACUUGGCUUUACAUAGCUUUGUACAACCAAGGCAUAUUCUUUGUGUCUGGAAUGUUGAUUGAGAUGGAUGUACUGGACGGAGAGAUUUCGGCUAUAAGGUUUAUUUCUUGACCACAGUACAGCAAACAACUUGGAUUUUUGCUGGAAACUGAAUAAGAUAAGCUAACUCCGUCUGAGAUUUAGCUUUGGAAUUGAGUCAAACCAAGUAAAAACAUGUUUAUAGAAUUAAGUUUAUGGUUAUUUGAUCUUGCUGGAACCGUGUACCGGAAUGACAAUAGUUGACACACUAUAGAUAUUGCUUAAAGUAAUCAAGUUGUGGGAGCAAUGAUUAAAACAGUCAUACUUUCAUGUUGUUUAAAAAGAUUUUUUUUCAAAGUGACAGUAAAUCUCAACCCAACUGGAACGAGAAAAUGAUCAAAUGCUUUUGGAAGUACACUUUUACAUUAUUCCACAGACUCUCUUGUCUUCAUAUUUGAUUGCAUGGUAUGAAUAAAAUGCUCAAAUUCUUUGUUCCUUUCCAUGACCAGGGGGCAAACACCUGUUGCCAUAAAUAAUAGGUCUUUCUCUGGGCGACAAUGUUUGACAGUUGUUGUUUAUAGAAUAAUUCCUGUAGUUUCUGAUAUGCUAUACACUUUUACAUUAUGCAGAUACAGUGAAGCGACAUCGGAAAGGGGAACUUGAUCCACUAAAUUAUAAGUAUUUUCGGUACUAGGGAUGAUUAUUGGCUAAUGUUGAUAGGAAAAAAGUUGAGGGGUUAGUUGUGAAAAUAACAAAUUUUUUUAGGUUAUUUGUGUAAAUUUCCCCAAGGGUAUAUUUGUACCAGCAUAUUGUUUUAUAUAAAGUAACCUUCAAUACACCCAUGGAAUGACAAUCCUCAAUUUGUACUCUAAAAGUGUGAAAAUUUUAAUUUAUCUAUUUAAAAGAUGAGGGUCGAUGGGGUGUGUUGAUGAAUUUUUUUGGUUAUCUUUUUUUUUUUAAUUUUUUUUGGAUCAAUUGAAUAUUGUUAUUCUAAAUAGGGGUAAAGUUCAACCCAUGUUUUUCAUUUAAGUGAUAGAAUCUCGUGGCUCAUCUUCCACUCUCUGUAAUAGUGUAAAUAUUAAUGACAAUGAAGUACUUAUCCACAAUAAAUCUACAGCUUUCAAAAGUUUGACCAUAAAUCUACAACAAGCAAAUAUGCCAUUGUUGGUAAUAUUCAUGCCAUUACGUGUAACCAAUGACAAAUAUUCUACUAAUAUUAAAUUUAAACGUGAAUAUCAUCAAAUUCUUUUUUUUCUUUUUUGUGAUAAAUAGCUUUUAUUUAUAAAAAUGCUCACCUAAAAAUAUAUCUAGCAGUACUACUCAAUAACAUACACCAUUAUGUUAUAUAUAGUUUAAAGAAAUCUACUAGCGUCCCACCCAUGGGCGGACUCAGUACAUAAGGGGGCUCAAGAGGGACUUCAGGGACUUUUUUAGGCCAUUAUUUUUCUUUUAAAUAUAUCUCAUACCCUUUUUAAAAGAGUUAAAUAAAAAAAAUUUGAGUACAUUUUUUUAUGUAACAAAAUACUUAUAAUUUAGUGGCAAGAGUACUGUUUAGUGGUUUUUAUAGACUUGGUUCAAACUACAAUAGCCAUAUAAUUAUUUUAUGGAGAUUACUUAUAUAAGGAACUUUUAUAAAUGUGGUCAGUGGCCACAAUGAGCUUCAACAUUAAAAAUAAAUAAUUUAUUAUUAUUAUUUAAAAUGAAAAAGUAGAGUUUGAGUUUUGAGACUUUAAAAAAUAAGUACGCCAAAUUAAAUUAAAAUUUUUGAACUCACCUUCCAAAUUUAAGUUUCGGGGUACACCACUGUGUCCGCCGAGAUUGAAACUUAAAUACUAAAAGAAAUACAAUUGGGUUGAGUGAGGUUGACAAUAAAAUCCGAAUUUAAUAGCUUUUAUACACAUUACACACACUUCAACCAGUGGCUCAGUCGACGAUCGAAACUUCAUAGUAGUUGACUUCUCUAUUAGCUUAUUUUAAUUUCAGAAUGCGAAUAAACAAAACAGAGGAUCUCUCUACUCUGCCCCAGCAGCAGCGUGAACAAAGUGAUUUUGUGAUUAGAAAAAUAUUCAAUUUGCAAGUAAGUUUAAUAUUACAAAUUAAAUUUACUUGCAAAUUAAACUAUUAACAUUUUGUUUAUUCAAAUAACCGGGUCACAGUACUACUACUGGCAGGGGAAAAUGAAAACAUAAAAAAAAUGAAUACAAAAGAUUAAUUACACUAAAUAGAGCAAUAAAUUUGUCUGAGUCUUUUUGUGACAUCAACCAUUGUUGCCCUAUCUACCGCUGAUUCGUUGAGACAUUCAAGAGUGAGUCGUGCACAAGCUUGCAAUUGGUGCUCUUUCUCAGUGCAUGAUAGGUCUUGAACAAUUAUAGGAUCUGCUAUCUCAGUAAAUCUAUUAUUUUGAAGAUAGUUGUUCAAAUGUUCAAUGAGAUGACGGACCGAACCAUGUGUACGAAGUAAAUCCCUGGUGCUCUGUCCAGUCAAAAGCUCCAACAGAACUGUACUGAAAGUAUAAACAUCCAACUUUUCAUUGAAAACACCUCCCCUCUUGUACUCAGGUGCACUAUAUGUCCAGGCUCCAAACCGACUACGUGUAAGUAUGUGGGUUUCACCUUCGGGAAUGGAUAUGGAUUCCGAAAAAUCAAACAAUUUUGCAACAUUUUCUUCAUUGAACAAGAUGCAUAAUGGGAUGAGAUUUCCAAAAACGAUGGGUCUGGGGAAUCCAACAUGAAGAUAAGCAAGUGCAUGAGCAACAUCAAUCGCAAUCUUUAACCUAUGUUUCAACAGUAAUGGUUCAAAGUGAGGUUGGGGAGCGCCGAAAAUACGAUCACGAAGAGUUCUGUACUCUCCAUAUUCAAAAACUAGAAUGGGAAUUGGAGUCUCUAAGCAGCAUCCAAUUAGCUUUAAAAUAUGCUUGUGAUCCAUUUGCGCUGCAUAUACGAUGUUAUUAAUACUAAACUUAUAAGCGCUAUCAGAAUAGGAUUCAUUAUACUUCAAAACAGAAAUUAGGCGCUCCUGCCAAAAGCCCUUGUACAAUUUAUAUAUGUGAAAGAUGCAUUUUUUUAUAACUUCUCUCCCGUCAUAGUUGUUAGUUGCAAUCUCGAGUUCUUUAGCAGAAAAGAUACGAUAAGGAUUAUAUUUACCAUGAGAAGACGCGAUCAACUCUUUCAGUACGGUCGCGCCAUUCCUCACCAUCAAUGUUCUUUUAUCAGUCCUGUCCUUGAAUUUUGUCAGAAUUGAACCCAUCUACAAGUAGAAACCAAUUCAAAUAUUGCAAUCAGUUCGUUUUAUUUGUAUAUAUACAUACUAUUUCAUUCAUAAAUAUAUAGCAGUAAAAUUUAUCAAAAAAAAAAAAAACCAAAAGCUGCUGAACGCUGAUGAUAAGGUGAGGAGUACCUGUGGCUGUGGACGUACAGCAAAUUGAUUAAUUAAGAAAACGCGGUGCUCGAUCUUGAUCUUGAUCUUUACUACUGCAUGUCAAAGUAAAGACUUUAGCAGCCAUGGUUGAACAUGACCAAAUUUGUUGAUCAAAUUUGGUGGGUAAGCAGUCAACCAAGGAUAUGUACAACGCAGGAGCGUAAGGAACAGUCCACAUGGCUAAACGCGGAACAAUUUCUUUUAUGACGAUUUCUAUUUUUUGAGAAAUGUUAUGAUUGGUUAAACAACCAAUUAAUGACAUUGACGUAUCUUAAAUUGUCUUGAAAUUUAUCAACUAUCUUUUUCCCCACAUUUUACCCUCUUCCAUCUUAGAUUUUUUUGUUUCCGUGGUUCUCUUUCCUCCCUCUUCAAUUCCCAAAUUUCAAAAGAAAGAGGAUUAAACAUUAAUUAUAUUUCGCCCAGAUUACAUUAGCACCUAAUUUCUCUUAAUUCUCUUCCAUCUUUUCUCUGCUUUGUUCAAUAAUUUAGUCAUUUUAUUUCAUAUAUUUUGUGUAUAUUUGUAGCGAAGCUUGAUUUGAUCUUCAUCUUUAUGUUGAUUAAAUUGAGACACAGCUAUCUAGCUCUCCUAGUUGGCGUUUUAUACAUGUAUCUGAACGAGUAUAAAGUUUGUCCAAUUAAUUCCUUCUUUUUCAGUGCCUUUUCUUUUCUUCUUUUUUUCUUUUGAGUAAUGAUACAGCCACAAACUCUUGUACAAACUUAUUUUGUACAAACUGACGUGGCAUUAAUUCAUUGGUUGAAUGGAAAUAUAAAUUAAUAAAAACAAAUCAUGUGGGCCAAGUAAUAUUUAAUUCAACUAAUCUUAUCAUGCCACAUCAAUUUGUACAAAAUAAGUUUGUACAAGAGUUUGUGGCUGUAUCAUUACUCUUUUCUUUUUUGGCUUUUUACUUUGUGGGCCAGCAAUUUUUUCUUCACUUUCGUACCUUUGCUGUUCUCAUUGUUAAAAAUAAAAUGUCAUUUCAUCAUUACACUUUCUAGUUUCUACUCAGUCAAUUAUUGAGAGAUCAGAGUUAAGAUUUUUUUUUCAAUUGUCAUUUUACGAUAUGCUUUUUAAAAUUAUUAUCUCAUGAUAUGCCUAUCCCUAUAUCCCAUCUAUCAUCUCAAUAUAAAUUCAUAAAUUAGUGAUAUUUAUAAUUAGAAAGAAGUUUAUUGCUAUUGUAUAAUUAAGAAAACGCGGUGCUCGAUCUUGAUCUUGAUCUUUACUACUGCAGGAGUUGGCUCAGAUUCUGAUGUUGAUUCAUUUGAGUCACCUAAAUAAGUAUGAAGUGUUUUUUUCUAAUGCUCAAUUUAAUUUGGAAUAUGUGAAAAUGCAACAAGUCUUCCUCUAGUCAACCAAGGAUACACAACGCAUGAGGGUGAGAAUUGUUGGGUUCAGUUAUUCUAUGUGAGCCAACUACCCAUGUUGAGAACAUGAGCGACUUUUAAGGAGAAUGAAAAAAGAAAAUUAAUCUUCCAGGGAGAGUGGGAGGAUUUCGGUUUUUUCAUUUUUUUUUUGGGUUAUUUUGCUUGAGUUAUUUCCCUUCCAGUCAAUUAUUAAAUUUACUCCUAAUCUAACUUAAGCAUCGGAGGGUUCUAGCCGGAAUCCCCACCGGCAAGUCCUGACCGAUUUCUGUGGUUUUCAGGUUGCAGACUUGAAGUUCAGAUCAAUAUUCAAGCUUGGUUUGUACUAAUUUCCCACCAUAAACAAAUUCAGCUGUUGAGGUCAUAUUUUGGCAUCAACAUCUUGGCGCCGUCUGUGGGGAACGGUACGAAAAGCCAUAAGAAAAUGAUGAGAUUCAUUGGAUGGGAAAUAGGAGGGCAGUAGAACAAAUUGUUGUUGGCAAGUACAACUCGAAAGAACACUUCUCAGAGGAGAGAAUCAGGUUCGGUUUCAGUUUAAUUAAGGGGCGUGAAUUACAGAUUAAUCAUUGUUUUAUUAUUUGUUGAUUAUGAUGAUGUUUCUCGAUUCUGAGGUGAUUGAACUACUUGUGCAAUUUCUUUUCAAACAAAUGCUAAUUAGCCAAAAUUAUUUUAUUUGAUUGAGAAAUAGCUGAGAAUUGAGGAGAAAUCAAAUAACCGAUAAGAUUAAUAGCAAUGAAUUAAUGGGUUAAUUUGAUUGGACCCUAUUUGGAGUGGUUUGGCAUUACUCACUGGGUUCAAAAGCUUAGCAUCUUACUAUGUACUAACCAAUCCAGUCUUGUAGUUGUGGCUUUGGCGCAAGAGGUGUUUGAUAAAAUAUCUCAGGGUGUAAGAAUUAUUCCGCAGUCAACCAAGGAUAUGUACAACGCAGGAGCGUAAGGAACAGUCCACAUGGCUAAACGCGGAACAAUUUCUUUUAUGACGAUUUCUAUUUUUUGAGAAAUGUUAUGAUUGGUUAAACAACCAAUUAAUGACAUUGACGUAUCUUAAAUUGUCUUGAAAUUUAUCAACUAUCUUUUUCCCCACAUUUUACCCUCUUCCAUCUUAGAUUUUUUUGUUUCCGUGGUUCUCUUUCCUCCCUCUUCAAUUCCCAAAUUUCAAAAGAAAGAGGAUUAAACAUUAAUUAUAUUUCGCCCAGAUUACAUUAGCACCUAAUUUCUCUUAAUUCUCUUCCAUCUUUUCUCUGCUUUGUUCAAUAAUUUAGUCAUUUUAUUUCAUAUAUUUUGUGUAUAUUUGUAGCGAAGCUUGAUUUGAUCUUCAUCUUUAUGUUGAUUAAAUUGAGACACAGCUAUCUAGCUCUCCUAGUUGGCGUUUUAUACAUGUAUCUGAACGAGUAUAAAGUUUCUCCAAUUAAUUCCUUCUUUUUCAGUGCCUUUUCUUUUCUUCUUUUCUUCUUUUUAGGCUUUUUACUUUGUGGGCCACCAAUUUUUUCUUCACUUUCGUACCUUUGCGGUUCUCAUUGUUAAAAAUAAAAUGUUUCAUCAUUACACUUUCUAGUUUCUACUCAGUCAAUUAUUGAGAGAUCAGAGUUAAGAUUUUUUUUUCAAUUGUCAUUUUACGAUAUGCUUUUUAAAAUUAUUACUCAUGAUAAGCCUAUCCCUGUAUCCCAUCUAUCAUCUCAAUAUAAAUUCAUAAAUUAGUGAUAUUUAUAAUUAGAAAGAAGUUUAUUCCUAUUGUAUACAUAGAAACUUGAACUUGUAUGACGCUUAGAAGGAGAAGAAUGAUUUAACGUCUGACUUAUGAGAGAAAGUUCUCGCCUAAGGAGCUAUCAGUAGUUGAACAAGAUACAAAAAUAUUUAUACUUCUGUAAAAGCUUGCAUUUACUGUUGUGGCUAUGAAAACAUGAAGACAUGAUAUCUCAACAAGAUACAUGAAUUGACAACAAAACAUAUUCUAAGAAUGUUUUUAUUGUGACUAUAAAAUAACUCACCAUCCAAAACGAUAUGCUUGUCUGAGCUGUUUUGCUACAUCAAUCAUCGUUGGUCUAUCCUCCGCUGAUUCAGAUACACAUUUCACGGCAAGCUCUACAAAAGCUUGCACUUGCUUAUCUUUUUCAGAAGAUUGAAUACAGAGUUCCUCACGAAUUACAGGAUCGACAAUCUCAUCAAACGUGUUACAUUCAAUAUGUUUCUUCACACGAUUCAAUAACCAAUGACGAUCUCCAGCUUCAUCAAUGCGUGAAAUUAUAUUGGCUUUAACAAUAUAGUAACUGAAUGUCUGGAACUUGUGUUAGGCAAUAUAGCGAUUAUAUAUUGCGGUUAAACAUGUAAAUUUGUUUGCUUAAGAGAACUUUGCCAUAAGCCAAGGACAAAAAUCCAGGUUCUAUUUCAAUUUAUUUAAUAUCAGCAUGAAACUAUUUGAAGAGCUAUAUAUAUAUAUUUGCUCAACUACUACUUUCGCAUGGGAAAAUAUUAGAUAUUAGCUAUAUUUGUUUUCUUGAAACGAUGGCUCUAGUUCACAUUGCAUAAUUUAACCAAUCCAGUCUUGUAGUUGUGGCUUUGGCGCAAGAGGUGAUUGAUAAAAUAUCUCAUGGUGUAAGAAUUGUUCCGUGACUUUAUUUAAAAUAAUUGAGUAAGAUGAUUUCUAAAGGUCACAACAACAAUAUCAGAAGAUAGCUAAAAAGCAACAUUAAGGAUGUCCUAGCAACAUAAAAAAGGGAAGUAGUUGUGGCAAAACAAGAAUUGCAAAACAAUGGUCCUACAAGAAUCAUAAACUGGUAUAUGACCAAGAGAUUUUUACAUUAAUUAUUUCCAACAUACCUUACAUUUUUUUUCUUAUAUGCUACAAGUUAGUAAAUGAAGUAAUAGGUUAAAUAAAGAGUGAAAGCUUCAAUGAUCUUGUUCCUACUAGAUAUAUUUUAUUUAUUUAUUUAUUUAUUUUUUAUCUCGCUUCCAAGUCAAACUGGGCUGGCACCAUACGAACUCGAAACUACACAUAUGCUUGGAAUCCCUGUACAUUUUUUCUUUUUUUUUUUUUCUUCUUUCAAAAUUAUAUGUCUUGUUUAUAAAGAAUUGACCAGGAAAAUUUUAGUGGCAAGAAAUUUGCUAUUAACAAAUGUAAGGAAGGGAUUAAAGGGAGAAGCUAUAAAGAAAAAGCUUGUGGUUGUUCUUCGGGAUUCACUUCGAACCUGCAUGGAUAUCAUGAAUCCAUUAAAUUUACAUUCAUGGGAAGAAGAGAAUUAAAGCCAAGACUGUGAUCCUCAAGAAACCACUCUCCGCAAAGACUCCAAUCAGGUGCAUUUGUUCUAAACUUCAGUUCCUCAGGUAAUAUUUUCACUUAAAGUUUGCCUUUUGGUUUGAGACAUGAAAUUAAAAUACUGAUUGGUCAUUUAUUGAUAAAUAUUUGGUAAAAGAUAAAAAUUUUGUAAAACUCUGGCUGUAUAGCUUUUUAUCAAUCUUAAUUUUGCAUGUAAAUCGUAAGAGCUAUAGUCACAAAAGGUCUAGUAUGAUAUCUUUGAGAGUAUAAUUAUUUUUUAGAACUGAUUUAUGUUUGCAACACUGAAAUUACCAAAAAUGCAUGAAAUGAAGCUACCUUUAAUUUUAUGAUAAUUGCUUGUUGAACAUGCCGUAAUUUGAGAUCGGCACCUACAUAUCUGAUUCUACAAUUUGAGAUCUAAGUCUACAUUCUAGUUCUACAAUUUGAGAUCUACAUCUACAUAUUUGAUUCUACAAUGUGAGAUCUACAUCUACAUAUUUAAUUCUACAAUUUGAGAUCCAAAUCUAUAGAUUUGAUUCUAUAAUUUGAGAUCGGCAUCUACAUAUUUGAUUCUAUAAUUUGAGAUCUAUAUCUACAUAUUUGAUUUCAUAAUUUGAGAUCGGCACCUACAUAUCUGAUUCUACAAUUUGAGAUCUAAGUCUACAUUCUAGUUCUACAAUUUGAGAUCUACAUCUACAUAUUUGAUUCUACAAUGUGAGAUCUACAUCUACAUAUUUAAUUCUACAAUUUGAGAUCCAAAUCUAUAGAUUUGAUUCUAUAAUUUGAGAUCGGCAUCUACAUAUUUGAUUCUAUAAUUUGAGAUCUAUAUCUACAUAUUUGAUUUCACAAUUUGAGAUCGGCACCUACAUAUCUGAUUCUACAAUUUGAGAUCUAAGUCUACAUUCUAGUUCUACAAUUUGAGAUCUACAUCUACAUAUUUGAUUCUACAAUGUGAGAUCUACAUCUACAUAUUUAAUUCUACAAUUUGAGAUCCAAAUCUAUAGAUUUGAUUCUAUAAUUUGAGAUCGGCAUCUACAUAUUUGAUUCUAUAAUUUGAGAUCUAUAUCUACAUAUUUGAUUUCACAAUUUGAGAUCGGCACCUACAUAUCUGAUUCUACAAUUUGAGAUCUAAGUCUACAUUCUAGUUCUACAAUUUGAGAUCUACAUCUACAUAUUUGAUUCUACAUUUUGAGAUUACAUCUAUAUAUUCGACAUCUACAUAUUGAGAUCGAGGUUGUCAUUUUUUAUCUUAUCGGGGUCCAUCUUAAUUUAAUUAUUUGAUCGAAUCUUAUUGAGAAUGAAGUUGGAAAUUUUGUGGAGUUCAUUUUGGCCUUAUUGAGGUCCAAUUGACUUUGUUCUGCUUGCCUUAUUGAGGUCUAGCUUGAUAAAUUGUUUUUGCCUUGUUGAGGUCCGACGUGAAUAAAUUGUAUGAUUCGAUCUUAUUGAAAUCGAGGUCUCUAUCUUGGCCUUAUUGAAGUCUAAUGUGAAUAAAUUAUUUGAUUCGAUCUUAUUGAGAUCAAGGUCGUCAUUUUUGGCCUUAUUGAGAUUGAAGUUGUCAUCCCUUAUUGAGAUUGAAGUUGUCAUCCAACCUUAUUGAGAUUGAAGUUGUCAUCCAAUCUUAUUGAGAUUGGCAGCGAGGUCAUUUGAUCUUAUUGAGACCGUGGUCGUCGCCCGAUUUUAUUAAGAUCGAGAUAUUGUUAAGUUGAUUUUUUUUUCUCUUUUUCUUUCAUUAUUCUUAAGUUUCCAAGACCAAUCACAAGUUCUUGAUAUUGAAAACUAGGGUACUUAUGUUGGAUUCAGUUAUUCUAUGUGAGCCAACUACCCAUGUUGAGAACAUGAGCGACUUUUAAGGAGAAUGAAAAAAGAAAAUUAAUCUUCCAGGGAGAGUGGGAGGAUUUGGGUUUUUUCAUUUUUUUUGGGUUAUUUUGCUUGAGUUAUUUCCCUUCCAGUCAACAAUUAAAUUUACUCCUAAUCUAUCUUAAGCAUCCGAGGGUUCUAGCCGGAACCUCCACCGGCGAGUCCUGACCGAUUUAUGUGGUUUUCAGGUUGCAGACUUGAAGUUCAUAUCAAUAUUCAAGCUUGGUUUGUACUAAUUUCCCACCAUAAACAAAUUCAGCUGUUGAUGUCAUAUUUUGGCAUCAACAAGAAUAGUCCACGUGGCUAAGUGUGAAAUAAUUCUUUUAUAAUUAUUUCUAUUUUUUGAGAAAUUUUAUGAUAGAUGAAACCACCAAUUAAUAAACAUUGACGUAUCUUAAAUUUUAUCUUGAAAUUUAUCAAAUAUCUUUUCUCCCACAUUUUAUCCACCAUUUUCAAAUUUUUUGUUUCCGUGGUUCUCUUUCCUCCCUCUUCAUUUCCCAAAUUUCAAAAGAAAGGGGAUUAAACAUUAAUUAUAUUUCCCUCAGAUUACAUUAGCACCUAACUUUUCUUUAUUCUCUUCCCUCUUUUCUCUGCUUUGCUCAAUAAUUCAGUCAUUUUAUUUCAUAUAUUUUGUGUAUAUUUGUAGCUUGGUCCAUCUUCAUCUUAGCUGAUUGUCCCAUCAUAGUUGUUAGUUGCUAUCUCGACUUCUCGAGCAGAGAAGAUAGAUAAAGAUUAUAUUUACCAUUAGAAGAGGCUGUAGGAAAUAACUCAGUAACUCAAAUUAAAUUUUUGAACUAACCCUCCUAAUUUAAGUUUUUGGGUUCACCACUGUGUUCACCGAGAUUGAAACUUAAAUACUAAAAGAAAUAAGAUUGGGUUGAGUGAGGUUGACAAUAAAAUCCGAAUUUAAUAGCUUUAUACACAUUACACACACUUCAACCAGUGGCUCAGUCGACGAUCGAAACUUCAUAGUAGUUGACUUCUCUAUUAGCUUAUUUUAAUUUUGGAAUGCGGAUAAACAAAACAGAGGAUCUCUCUACUCUGCCCCAGCAGCAGCGCGAACAAAGUGAUUUUGUGAUUAGAAAAUAUUCAAUUUGCAAGUAAGUUUAAUAUUACAAAUUAAAUAAAGCAUUAAACUGCAACAUUUUGUUUACCCAAAUAACCGGGUUACAGUACUACUACUGGCGGGGGGAAAUGAAAUCAUAAAAACAAUGAAUACAAAAGAUUAACGACAUGUAAGAGAGCAAUAAAUUUGUCUGAGUCUUUUUACAACAUCAACCAUUGUUGGCCUAUAUACCGGUGAUUCGUUGAGACAUUCAAGAGUGAGUCGUGCACAAGCUUGCAAUUGGUGCUCUUUCCCAGUGCAUGAUAGGUCUUGAACAAUUAUAGGAUCUGCUAUCUCAGUAAAUCUAUUAUUUUCAAGAUAGUUGUUCAAAUAUUCAAUGAGAUGACGGACUGAACCAUGUGUGAGAAGUAAAUCCCUGGCGCCCUGUCCAGUCAAUAGCUCCAACAGAACUGUACCGAAAGUAUAAACAUCAUACUUUUCAUUGAUAACAAGUGUUUCAUUGAAAACAUAUAUCUUCUUGUAGUCAGGUGCGCAUAAUUCCCAUAUUCCCAUCCCACGAUGAGUAACGUGGGUUUUACCUUCGGGAAUGGAUAUGGAUAGUGAAAAAUCAAACAAUUUUGCAACAUUUUCUUCAUUGAACAAGAUGCGUGAUGGGAUGAAAUGUCUAAAAACGAUGGGUCUGGGGAAUCCAACAUGAAGAUAAGCAAGUGCAUGAGCAAUAUCAAUCGCCAUCUUUAACCUAUGUUUCAAUCGUAAUGGUUCAAAUUGAGGUCGAGGUUGAGGAUCGCGGUAGUGACUAAUACGCUCAGGAAGAGUUCUGUACUCUCCAUAUUCAAAAACUAGAAUGGGAAUUGGAGUCUCUAAGCAGCAUCCAAUUAGCUUUAAAAUAUGCUUGUGAUCCAUUUGUGCUGCAUAUACUAUGUUAUUAAUACUAUACUUAUAAACGCUAUCAGGAAGGGAUUCAUCAAACUUCAAAACAGAAAUUAGCCGCUCCUGCCAAAAGCCCUUGUACAAUUUAGUUAUGUAAAAGUCGCAUUGUUUUAUAACUUCUCUCUCGUCAUAGUUGUUAGUUGCAAUCUCGAGUUCUUUAGCAGAAAAGAUACGAUAAGGGUUGUAUUUACCAUGAGAAGACGCGAUCAACUCUUUUAGUACUCUCGCGCCAUUCCUCACCAUCAAUGUUCUUUUAUCAGUCCUGUCCUUGAAUUUUCUGAUAAUCGAACACAUCUACAAGUAGAAACCAAUUCAAAUAUUGCAAUCAGUUCGUUUUAUUUGUAUAUAUACAUACUAUUUCAUUCAUAAAUAUAUAGCAGUAAAAUUUAUCAAAAAAAAAAAAACCAAAAGCUGCUGAACGCUGAUGAUAAGGAGAGGAGUACCUGUGGCUGUGGACGUACAGCAAAUUGAUUAAUUAAGAAAACGCGGUGCUCGAUCUUGAUCUUGAUCUUUACUACUGCAUGUCAAAGUAAAGACUUUAGCAGCCAUGGUUGAACAUGACCAAAUUUGUUGAUCAAAUUUGGUGGGUAAGCCACCAAAUUUUAUCAAACUUGAAGACUGUUAGGCAAGUUUUUUGCAUAUAAAUAGGAGAUGCCCUUCCUUCAUUUUGAUAAUCCCAGAGAGAAACAUUCAAAGUUGUAAAAUCUAAUGCAAGUUAAGCAUUAAGUGAGUAUUAUGAAAUUUUAGUAUUUUGGGUGUAUCUGGGGCUUGGGUGGGAGAAAUUAUUUAUGAGAGUGUGGUUGUAAUAAUUUUCCACAUAGUGAAUAUUUUUUCUCUGGUUGUCUUGUGACAACGGCCGUGGUUUUUCUCCGGAUUUGGAGUUUUCCACGUAAAUCUUGUGUUGUGUGAUUGGUAUAUUUUCUAUUUAAUUUUUUUAAUUAAUUUGUUGCUUGAUAAAUUACUUGGAGAGAUCUUGGAAGGAAACUCAAUUUCCUAACACUGCAGGAGUUGGCUCAGAUUCUGAUGUUGAUUCAUUUGAGUCAUCUCAAUAAAGUAUGAAGGGUUUUUUUUCUAACGCUCAAUUUAAUUUGGACUAUGUGAAAAUGCAACAAGUCUUCCUCUAGUCAACCAAGGAUACUCAACGAAUGAGGGUAAGAAUAGUCCACAUGGCUAAGCGUGGAAUAAUUCUUUUAUAAUGAUUUCUAUUUUUUGAGAAAUUUUAUGACAGAUGAAAUCUCCAAUUAAUAACCAUUGACGUAUCUUAAAUUUUGUCUUGAAAUUUAUCAAAUAUCUUUUCUUCCACAUUUUAUCCUCUUGCAUUUUCAAAUUUUUUUGUUUCCGUGGUUCUCUUUCCUCCCUCUUCAAUUCCCAAAUUUCAAAAGAAAGAGGAUUAAACAUUAAUUAUAUUUCGCCCAGAUUACAUUGGCACCAAAUUUCUCUUAAUUCUCUUCCCUCUUUUCUCUGCUUUGUUCAAUAAUUUAGUCAUUUUAUUUCAUAUAUUUUGUGUAUAUUUGUAGCGAAGCUUGAUUUGAUCUUCAUCUUUAUGUUGAUUAAAUUGAGACACAGCUAUCUAGCUCUCCUAGUUGGCGUUUUAUACAUGUAUCUGAACGAGUAUAAAGUUUCUCCAAUUAAUUCCUUCUUUUUCAGUGCCUUUUCUUUUCUUCUUUUCUUCUUUUUAGGCUUUUUACUUUGUGGGCCACCAAUUUUUUCUUCACUUUCGUACCUUUGCGGUUCUCAUUGUUAAAAAUAAAAUGUUUCAUCAUUACACUUUCUAGUUUCUACUCAGUCAAUUAUUGAGAGAUCAGAGUUAAGAUUUUUUUUUUUUCAAUUAUCAUUUUACGAUAUGCUUUUUAAAAUUAUUUAUCUCAUGAUAUGACUAUCCCUGUAUCCCGUCUGUCAUCUCAAUAUAAAUUCAUAAAUUAGUGAUAUUUAUAAUUAGAAAGAAGUUUAUUCCUAUUGUAUACAUAGAAACUUGAACUUGUAUGACGCUUAUAAGGAGAAGAAUGAUUUACCAUCUGACUUAUGAGAGAAAGUUCUCGCCUAAGGAGCUAUCAGUAGUUGAACAAGAUAUAUACAAAAAUAUUUAUACUUCUGUAAAAGCUUGCAUUUACUGUUGUGGCUAUGAAAACCUGAAGACAUGAUAUCUCAGCAAGAAUACAUGAAUUGACAACAAAACAUAUUCUAAGACUGUUUUUAUUGUGAGUAUAAAAUAACUCACCAUCCAAAACGAUAUGCUUGUCUGAGCUGUUUUGCUACAUCAAUCAUCGUUGGUCAGAUACACAUUUCACGGCAAGCUCUACAGAAGCUUGCACUUGCUUAUCUUUUUCAGAAGAUUGAAUUGAAAGUUCCCCACAAAUACGGGAUCAACGAUCUCAUCAAACGUGUUACAUUCAAUAUGUUUCUUCACACGAUUCUAUAACCAAUGACGAUCUCCAGCUUCAUCAAUGGAAUACAGUUUUUGGCAGGUCAAAAGCACAAGCAGCAACACACCAAAACUGAAAAUGUCGCAUUUCUCAUUGUAGUCACCUGAAGUUGCGUUUGGAAAUGAGAUUGGGCAGCUACAGCUUAAAAGCUACAUCACUAAAGUAUUUGGUAAACACUAACUGCUGUAACUUGAAAAUUAUAUUGACAUGAUUUUUUACUUGUAUCAUCAAAAAUUUAUUAUAUCUUUAAUAAUUUUAUCAAAAUUAUUAUUUAAAUUUUAUAUUUAUUAUAUAUUAUUAAUUUUUGUUUUAUAGUUACAUCUUUUUUUCCGCAACAGCUGUAUUUUAAAAAUUACAACACCUCAAUCCCAGACAUGACCAUACUUAGUGGCAACGAAUCCCAUUAUUCCUAUUGGUAUUGCAUCUUUUAUGUGAGUUUCGCCAUCUGGAAUAGACUCGGCUAGUGAAAAAUCAAACAAUUUGGCAACAUGAUCUUCAUCAAAUAAGAUACUCGAUAAUUUGAUGUUUUUGAAAACAGUAGGCCGAGGAAAUCCAACAUGAGGAUAUGCAAGAGCAUUAGCUAUCUCCAUCGCAAUCUUUAACCUAUGUGUCAAUAGAUAAGGCUCGAAAUGUGACGGACGAGGACCAUGAAUAUAAUUAGCAAGGAUUCCAGAUGACACAGAUUCAAAAACUAGAACAGGAAUUUGAGUCUCUAAGCAACAUCCAAUCAACAUUAAGAUAUUGCUGUGGCUCAUUUGUGAUGCAAAUACAAUGUUCUUCAAGCACCAUUCAUAUGCAUCAUACUUGUCAUUGUUUUGAAACUUCAUAACAGACACUGGAAAAAUUGAUUUCUUCAUUUAAUGGUAAACGCAAACCUAUCCUAAGCUUCUCUGCUGAAGAGCUCAAGAUAGCUACAAACAAUUAUGACUUGCAAAGAGUUAAAACACAAGGUAUCUCGUUCUUUUGGGAUUGUAUAAUUUUGUUAUAUUAUUCUUUUGGAAUUAAGAAUAAACUGAGAUAUUAAUAUUAGUUAUAAUAUUAUCUUUUGAGACUCUGGAGAUAUAAACUCAGCAUUUUGGUUGAGAAUGUUGAUCACUGGAGUUUGUUAUAUAUUGAAUUAUUUUGGGAGUGUUUGUUUUACGUAUUUGUAGAUUGGGAGUGUUAUAUUUAUAAAGGAGAAUCUGCCGAAUUUUCGAUAGAAUAUUUACUAAUAGAAUUAUUAUCAAGUCCGUUUUGAUGAGACUAAAUUAACUCGCUCAGGGGGAUUCGGGGCGGGUCAUUUCAGAGGAUUAAACAGUAAAUAUAUUUCGCCCAGAUUACAUUAGCACCUAAUUUCUCUGCUUUGCUCAAUAAUUUAGUCAUUUUAUUUAAUAUAUUUUGUGUAUAUUUGUAGCGAUGCUUGAUUUGAUCUUGAUCUUUAUGUUGAUUAAAUUGAGACACAGUUAUCUAGCUCUCCUAGUUGGCCUUUUACACAUGUAUCUGAACGAGUAUAAAGUUUGUCCAAUUAAUUCCUUCUUUUUCAGUGCCUUUUCUUUUCUUCUUUUCUUCUUUUUAGGCUUUUUACUUUGUGGGCCACCAAUUUUUUCUUCACUUUCGUACCUUUGCGGUUCUCAUUGUUAAAAAUAAAAUGUUUCAUCAUUACACUUUCUAGUUUCUACUCAGUCAAUUAUUGAGAGAUCAGAGUUAAGAUUUUUUUUUUUUUCAAUUAUCAUUUUACGAUAUGCUUUUUAAAAUUAUUACUCAUGAUAAGCCUAUCCCUGUAUCCCAUCUAUCAUCUCAAUAUAAAUUCAUAAAUUAGUGAUAUUUAUAAUUAGAAAGAAGUUUAUUCCUAUUGUAUACAUAGAAACUUGAACUUGUAUGACGCUUAGAAGGAGAAGAAUGAUUUAACGUCUGACUUAUGAGAGAAAGUUCUCGCCUAAGGAGCUAUCAGUAGUUGAACAAGAUACAAAAAUAUUUAUACUUCUGUAAAAGCUUGCAUUUACUGUUGUGGCUAUGAAAACAUGAAGACAUGAUAUCUCAACAAGAUACAUGAAUUGACAACAAAACAUAUUCUAAGAAUGUUUUUAUUGUGACUAUAAAAUAACUCACCAUCCAAAACGAUAUGCUUGUCUGAGCUGUUUUGCUACAUCAAUCAUCGUUGGUCUAUCCUCCGCUGAUUCAGAUACACAUUUCACGGCAAGCUCUACAAAAGCUUGCACUUGCUUAUCUUUUUCAGAAGAUUGAAUACAGAGUUCCUCACGAAUUACAGGAUCGACAAUCUCAUCAAACGUGUUACAUUCAAUAUGUUUCUUCACACGAUUCAAUAACCAAUGACGAUCUCCAGCUUCAUCAAUGGAAUACAAUUUUUGUCCAGUCAAAAGCACAAGCAGCAACACACCAAAACUGAAAACGUCGCAUUUCUCAUUGUAGUCACCUGUGGUUACAUACUCAGUCGCAACGAAUCCCAUUAUUCCUAUUGGUAUUGCAUCUUUUAUGUGAGUUUCGCCAUCUGGAAUAGACUCGGCUAGUGAAAAAUCAAACAAUUUGGCAACAUGAUCUUCAUCAAAUAAGAUACUCGAUAAUUUGAUGUUUUUGAAAACAGUAGGCCGAGGAAAUCCAACAUGAGGAUAUGCAAGAGCAUUAGCUAUCUCCAUCGCAAUCUUUAACCUAUGUGUCAAUAGAUAAGGCUCGAAAUGUGACGGACGAGGACCAUGAAUAUAAUUAGCAAGGAUUCCAGAUGACACAGAUUCAAAAACUAGAACAGGAAUUUGAGUCUCUAAGCAACAUCCAAUCAACAUUAAGAUAUUGCUGUGGCUCAUUUGUGAUGCAAAUACAAUGUUCUUCAAGCACCAUUCAUAUGCAUCAUACUUGUCAUUGUUUUGAAACUUCAUAACAGACACUGGGCGGCCAUGCAAGAAAGCAGUGUACAGUUGAUAUACAAAGCCUUGUGUUUUAACUCUUUGCAAGUCAUAAUUGUUUGUAGCUAUCUUGAGCUCUUCAGCAGAGAAGCUUAGGAUAGGUUUGCGUUUACCAUUAAAUGAAGAAAUCAAUUUUUCCAGUAUUGGGCGGCCAUGCAAGAAAGCAUUGUACAGUUGAUAUACAAAGCCUUGUGUUUUAACUCUUUGCAAGUCAUAAUUGUUUGUAGCUAUCUUGAGCUCUUCAGCAGAGAAGCUUAGGAUAGGUUUGCGUUUACCAUUAAAUGAAGAAAUCAAAUUUUCCAGUAAAUUUUUGCCAUUCCUCAUAAUGCAUUUUUCCUUAUCUUCCUUCCCCGAAUUCUUGAUUGCUCCCAAACAUGAAUACAUGAUCUAUAGUUCCAAAAACCCAGGAAAUAAUUUCAAUUUAUUCAACAAUAAAAACAAAGGAUUUUAAGAACAUUAAAGGAUAUGUUACACAAAGGGAGAUUUUACAUGUACCUGUGGAUGGUCAAUUAGGAUUGAAGAUAAAGAAAACAGAGGAGCCCUACGCUUGAUCCCUGCAGCAGAAUAAAUAUAAGAAAAAAGUUUCCACUUCUGAGUAUGGAAGUAAUUUUGUCCAUGAAUUAUACAAUUAAAGUAAGAGACUCGAAUUUACAGAGUUGUGGCAUUCAUUCUUUUAUCCAAGAAAAUAAACAGGAAAGCUUGCAAGUGACAAACCAUCCAUCAACGAUUUUGGAUUCAAGCUUUCAACAAGACAGAUACAUUUGUCUAAGUUGUUUUGCCACAUCAAUCAUUGUUGGCCUUUCUUCUGGUGAUUCAGAGACACAUUUAAAGGCAAAAUCUAAAUAAGCCUACAGCAGUUGCUCUUUUAUUGGGCAUAAUCCCUCUUCAAUAAUCAUAGGAUCAACCAUUUCAUUCAACCCAUUUUCUUCAACAUAUUUCUUCAGAAGAUCCCAUAAGUAAUUUUCAACGCCAAGUCUUUUAUCGCGGCAGAAAGAAGUUAUCUUCUGCCCAGUCAAAAGAUCAAGUAGCAACAUACCAAAACUAUGAACAUCGUACUUCUCAUUGCACUUAGCUUCAAGCAAAACCUCAGGUGCAAUAUAUCCCCUUGUCCCAGCUAUUUGAACAUCUACAUGAGUUUCUCCUUCUGGAAUAGACACAGAUAGUGAAAAAUCAAACAGUUUGGCAACAUUUUGCUCAUCAAAGAAUAUUCUCCAUGGCGUCGCACUCAUAAAAAUGAUGGGUCUGGCAAAUCCUGCGUGGAGAUAUGCAACUGCAUUGGCUAAUUCCAUUGCAACCUUCAACCUAUUUCUGAAUGGUAGAGGCUCAAAAUUAUGUCUACGGCGCCUAUAUAUGCGAUCGGCAAGGGUACCGAGCUCAAUGGAUUCAAAAACUAGAAUAGGAAUCUGAGUCUCCAAACAACAUCCGAUCAACUUCAAAAUAUUUUUGUGACUCAUUUGUGAUCCAAAUACUAUGUUAUUGAAACAAAACUUGUAUUGAUUAUCACUGUUGUAAUUCUCCCCAAACUUCAAAAUAGAAACUGCACGAGCAUUCAGGACACCUUUGUACAAUAUAUAGCCACUCUCUUGGAUUAUAAUUCUCUCUCUAUCGUAGUUGUUUGUAGCCGUUGUGAGCUCUUGGAAGGAGAAGUCACGAAUAGGAUUAUAGUUACCAUUAGAAGAGGCAAUCAAUUUUUCUAGUAAAACUUUGUUAUUCAUCGACUUAACAGUUGACUUGUCUGCCUUUCCCGAGGACUUGCUUUUUCCCAAACACAAACCCAUCUAAGAUCUAAGAUCUAAGUCUAAUCAAUAAAUUUGUACAGACACAUUAAAAUAAUUCCUCUCUCACUUCAUUAAACUGUACAUUGAACAAAUAUUCUGAGUGUUUAUUAACCAGACCACUAAAAGUAAUAGUAUUUUCAAGGGCGCAAUAUUCAUGCCAUUACGUGUAACCAAUGACAAAUAUUCUACUAAUAUUAAAUUUAAACGUGAAUAUCAUCAAAUUCUUUUUUUUUCUUUUUUGUGAUAAAUAGCUUUUAUUUAUAAAAAUGCUCACCUAAAAAUAUAUCUAGCAGUACUACUCAAUAACAUACACCAUUAUGUUAUAUAUAGUUUAAAGAAAUCUACUAGCGUCCCACCCAUGGGCGGACUCAGUACAUAAGGGGGCUCAAGAGGGACUUCAGAGACUUUUUUAGGCCAUUAUUUUUCUUUUAAAUAUAUCUCAUACCCUUUUUAAAAGAGUUAAAUAAAAAAAAUUUGAGCACAUUUUUUUAUGUAACAAAAUACUUAUAAUUUAGUGGCAAGAGUACUGUUUAGUGGUUUUUAUAGACUUGGUUCAAACUACAAUAGCCAUAUAAUUAUUUUAUGGAGAUUACUUAUAUAAGGAACUUUUAUAAAUGUGGUCAGUGGCCACAAUGAGCUUCAACAUUAAAAAUAAAUAAUUUAUUAUUAUUAUUUAAAAUGAAAAAGUAGAGUUUGAGUUUUGAGACUUUAAAAAAUAAGUACGCCAAAUUAAAUUAAAAUUUUUGAACUCACCUUCCAAAUUUAAGUUUCGGGGUACACCACUGUGUCCGCCGAGAUUGAAACUUAAAUACUAAAAGAAAUACAAUUGGGUUGAGUGAGGUUGACAAUAAAAUCCGAAUUUAAUAGCUUUUAUACACAUUACACACACUUCAACCAGUGGCUCAGUCGACGAUCGAAACUUCAUAGUAGUUGACUUCUCUAUUAGCUUAUUUUAAUUUCAGAAUGCGAAUAAACAAAACAGAGGAUCUCUCUACUCUGCCCCAGCAGCAGCGUGAACAAAGUGAUUUUGUGAUUAGAAAAAUAUUCAAUUUGCAAGUAAGUUUAAUAUUACAAAUUAAAUUUACUUGCAAAUUAAACAAGUUACAUUUUGUUUAUUCAAAUAACCGGGUUACAGUACUACUACUGGCAGGGGAAAAUGAAAACAUAGAAACAAUGAAUACAAAAGAUUAAUUACACUAAAUAGAGCAAUAAAUUUGUCUGAGUCUUUUUGUGACAUCAGCCAUUGUUGCCCUAUCUACCGCUGAUUCGUUGAGACAUUCAAGAGUGAGUCGUGCACAAGCUUGCAAUUGGUGCUCUUUCUCAGUGCAUGAUAGGUCUUGAACAAUUAUAGGAUCUGCUAUCUCAGUAAAUCUAUUAUUUUGAAGAUAGUAGUUCAAAUGUUCAAUGAGAUGACGGACCGAACCAUGUGUAUGAAGUAAAUCCAUGCUGCCCUGUCCAGUCAAUAGCUCCAACAGAACUGCACUGAAAGUAUAAACAUCAUACUUUUCAUUGAAAACACCUGUCCUCAUGUACUCAGGUACGUACUCAGGUACAUACUCAGGUGCACAAUAUCCCUGUGGUUGCAUCAGACAAUCAGUAAUGUGGGUUUCACCUUCGGGAAUGGAUAUGGAUAGUGAAAAAUCAAACAGUUUUGCAACAUUUUCUUCAUUGAACAAGAUGCGUGAUGGGAUGACAUGUCUAAAAACGAUGGGUCUGGGGAAUCCAACAUGAAGAUAAGCAAGUGUAUGAGCGAUAUCCAUUGCAAUCUUUAACCUAUGUUUCAAUCGUAAUGGUUCAAAUUGCGGUCGAGGUUGAGGAUUGCCGCAGAGACCAAUACGCUCAGGAAGAGUUCUGUACUCUCCAUAUUCAAAAACUAGAAUGGGAAUUGGAGUCUCUAAGCAGCAUCCAAUUAGCUUUAAAAUAUGCUUGUGAUCCAUUUGUGCUGCAUAUACUAUUUUAUUAAUACUAUACUUAUAAGCGCCUGAUAAUCGAACACAUCUACAAGUAGAAACCAAUUCAAAUAUUGCAAUCAGUUCGUUUUAUUUGUAUAUACACAUACUAUUUCAUUCAUAAAUAUAAAGCAGUAAAAUUUAUCAAAAAAAAAAAAAAACCAAAAGCUGCUGAACGCUGAUGAUAAGGAGAGGAGUACCUGUGGCUGUGGACUGAUGAUGAGGAGAGGAGUACCUGUGGCUGUGGGCGUACAGCAAAUUGGUUAAUAAGAAAACGCUGUGCUCGAUCUUGAUCUUGAUCUUUACUACUGCAGGAGUUGACUCUGAUUCUGAUGUUGAUUCAUUUGAGUCAUCUGAAUAAGUAUGAAGGGUUUUUUUAAUGCUCAAUUUAAUUUGGAAUAUGUGAAAAUGCAACAAGUGUUCCUCUAGUCAACCAAGGAUACACAACGAAUGAGGGUAAGAAUAGUCCACGUGGCUAAGCGUGGAAUAAUUCUUUUAUAAUGAUUUCUAUUUUUUGAGAAAUUUUAUGAUAGUUGAAACCGGCAAUUAAUAAACAUUGACGUAUCUUAAAUUUUGUGUUGAAAUUUAUCAAAUAUCUUUUCUUCCACAUUUUAUCCUCUUGCAUUUUCAAAUUUUUUUGUUUCCGUGGUUCUCUUUCCUCCCGCUUCAAUUCCCAAAUUUCAAAAGAAAGAGGAUGUAACGUAUGUGAAUUAAAUGAAUAAAUAAAAAGAGGCGGUUAAGAAAUUAGUAAAAGCAAAAGAGAAAAGAGCUGGAAAACAGAGGGAAGAUGCACGUGUGACAGAGAGUGAGAGAGAAGUAGAGAUGGUAAAACCCUGGGCUGGGUCCGGGUAUUGCAAUGACCGGACCUGCCCGAAUGCAACCGGUCCGAGUCUGAGUCCGGGCCGAGUUUUAAUCUGGGUACCCAAAUUUUAUAUUUUUUUAAUAUUAUAUGUGUAUAUAUUUUUUAUUUUUUGGUAAUUUUAUAAGUUUUAAAUUUAUUUCAAUAAAGUUUGACAUGAAAAUAUAAACUUUAAGUGUUUAAAACUUUAUAUAUGUAUAAUAAAUGAGCCAAAUAAAUAUAAAUAUUUAAAAUAAUAUAUAUUUUAUAAUAUUUUUUAAAUAAAACCCGGGUUCCGAGUUUAUCAAGUAAUGCUCAAGACCGACCCGGCUUCAUACCCGGACCGGGUAAUACCCGGCCCACAACGCCUGGGUACGGUUCGGGCUCGGACCGGGCGGGUAUUUUUUCCACCUCUAGAGAGAAGCUGCCAAACCGACCCAAUUACAGACCCGAAAACCCGACCUGGAACUCGCGAUCGUGACCUGGCCAUAUCUCCCAUUUCCGGCCACCGUUUUGGUCGCGCUUGGUACCAAUCUGAAGCUUAGAAGCCGGCCGUCGUUCCCCUGCCAUCCUCGUCGCCAAAAACCAACCGGAACGCCGGCGAUCGAAGCUUGAAAACCCGCGACUGUUUCGCUUUAUUCCGCCAGGAUUUUCGCCUGUUUUGGGUGACACCACCGGUUGGAUUUUGUUCCUCACAACUCCCUCUUCCAUUUCCGACCAUCCAUAGCCACCGGGAGUCACUGUUUUACCGCCGGUCAAUUGUUGGAAUUCACGGCCGUUGAGCUAGAUUCCAACGUCGUUACCGCGCACCCAAUUACAGACCCGAAAACCCGACCUGGAACUCGCGAUCGUGACCUGGCCAUAUCUCCCAUUUCCGGCCACCGUUUUGGUCGCGCUUGGUACCAAUCUGAAGCUUAGAAGCUGGCCGUCGUUCCCCUGCCAUCCUCGUCGCCAAAAACCAACCGGAACGCCGGCGAUCGAAGCUUGAAAACCCGCGACUGUUUCGCUUUAUUCCGCCAGGAUUUUCGCCUGUUUUGGGUGACACCACCGGUUGGAUUUUGUUCCUCACAACUCCCUCUUCCAUUCCCGACCAUCCAUAGCCACCGGGAGUCACUGUUUUGCCACCGGUCAAUUGUUGGAAUUCACGGCCGUUGAGCUAGAUUCCAACGUCGUUACCGCGCGUUGGAGCUCACCGCCGGUACCAUUGAACUCAGCGUGAGUGGAACUUUCAGACUUGAGCUUCCCGGCCAGCGUUGACCAAAUUUCGGUGACCGUUGACCAGCAAGGGCAUUUCAGUAAUUUCACACUCCGAGGGCAAUUUUGUAAUUUCUGAGCCAGUGGAUAUUUUAGUAAUUCCUAGAAUUGAGGAUUGGGUGUAAUUACGAUUCUGAGGGUAAUUCGAUAAUUUUCGAUUUCAGAGUAUUUUAAUAAUUUACGGACUUGAGGGCAUUUUAGUAAUUUUAUCGACACAGGAGUUGUAAAUUAUGGAUAGAUGUUCGUUUCGAGUUUAUUGCAUAAAUUUAGUCCUAAUUACGAUUUACGAAAAAUAAUUAUGUUGUUUCCUUGAUUUAGGAGGAUCUGCGAGCGAGAACCGGUCCGCGGACGUGGACGAUAACCGAGUGUGAACACCGUCACUGUAACACCGUCACUGUAACACCGUCACUGUGAGUGGAAUAUACAAAACCUAUUUUCAUAGUUAAUUAUGAUAGUAAAGCAUGUUUGAGGAAUAAAUAUUUUAAAUAUUCUGAUUUAAUGAUUUCCUCGAAAUGGAUUUUAUUCAUGCAUUGGUAUUUUAUUAAAAUGUUUGUUUAAUGAUUUUGCGUAUCGACUUUGAAUAAGCAUGAUAGUAUUUUAAAGAUAAGAAAAGUGGAUUCAAAUGUGGUAUGAUUUAAAGUAUGGUUAAAAGAUAUGUGAAUAUGAGUAUAGUGAUUGUUUUUGAAAUCAUUAGACCGCACCAUUCCCUCCAGAUACAGUGAUACAUAUGAGAUGAGAUGAGAGGCCUUUGGGGCCCGUCUGAACACACAUAGAGGCUUUGGGCCGUGUGUUUGGGCGUUUUUGCCUUUUGGGGGCAUAUGCAUGCGGUAUGAUGAUUACAGAGAUACAGAUAUGAGAUACAGACAGAUAUUGAGAUACAGAUGAUACGAAUGAGAUACAGGCCUUUGGGGCCUGUCUGAGUACACAUAGAGGCUUUGGGCCGUGUGCUUGGGCGCUUUUGUCCUUUUGGGACUAGAUUAUGCAUGCACAGAUAUGAUGAGUUAUGAGAUGGUAUUUCCCUGUCUAUCCGUGUAGCUCCGGGGCGUGACGGUACCCAGAUAGUACGUCAUUGCCCGUCCGUUGAGGUCCAGAUAUGACGAGAUUAUUUCCCUAGGUACUUGUUUGGUGAUGAUUUUCAUAUUUGUGUAUUUUAUAUGAUAUUGUAAUAUGAUUUCCAUGGUUAUUUGGUACGAUAUUAUAUAUGUUUUUCAUGGUUAAUAAUCUGAUUUAAAUGUUAAAUGAUUUAUUACUGAUUUCUCGCAUAUAAUUUGAUGAAAUCGUGUUUGGAAAUGAUAUGAUUAUCUCUUUUAAAGUAAGAAUUAAUUUUCAAAAACUACUAUCCAUUUACUGAUCUCACUGAGUUUUAAACUCACCCCGUUUUUAUUAUAUUUUCACCCCCUCACCAGGAGGUCGCAGGUACACCAGACCGACCCAGCGACUGUAAAUAUAUUUUGAGUCUUGGCCACGUGAUGGUGUUAGAAGAUAUAGAUGUUUUUGUUAAGACAUCUUGAUUAUCUCGUUCUUUUGGGAUUGUAUAAUUUUGUUAUAUUAUUCUUUUGGAAUUAAGAAUAAACUGAGAUAUUAAUAUUAGUUAUAAUAUUAUCUUUUGAGACUCUGGAGAUAUAAACUCAGCAUUUUGGUUGAGAAUGUUGAUCACUGGAGUUUGUUAUAUAUUGAAUUAUUUUGGGAGUGUUUGUUUUACGUAUUUGUAGAUUGGGAGUGUUAUAUUUAUAAAGGAGAAUCUGCCGAAUUUUCGAUAGAAUAUUUACUAAUAGAAUUAUUAUCAAGUCCGUUUUGAUGAGACUAAAUUAACUCGCUCAGGGGGAUUCGGGGCGGGUCAUUUCAGAGGAUUAAACAGUAAAUAUAUUUCGCCCAGAUUACAUUAGCACCUAAUUUCUCUGCUUUGCUCAAUAAUUUAGUCAUUUUAUUUAAUAUAUUUUGUGUAUAUUUGUAGCGAUGCUUGAUUUGAUCUUGAUCUUUAUGUUGAUUAAAUUGAGACACAGUUAUCUAGCUCUCCUAGUUGGCCUUUUACACAUGUAUCUGAACGAGUAUAAAGUUUGUCCAAUUAAUUCUUAAUUAAUUCCUUCUUUUUUAGUGCCUUUUCUUUUUUUUUUUUUUGGCUUUUUACUUUAUGGGCCACCAAUCUUUUCUUCACUUUCGUACCUUUGCUGUUCUCAUUGUUAAAAAUAAAAUGUCAUUUCAUCAUUACACUUAGGGUGGGCAAAUUAUCUGAUCUGACCCGACCCGAAAAAUUUCAGGUUCGGAUCGGAUCAGAUCAGGUUGUAAAAGCAACCCGAUUGGGUGUAAAUGGUGAAACUCGAUCGGGUUGUGAUCGGAUCGGGUUAUACCCAAUCUGAUCCGAAAACCCGAUCGAGUUUCUUAAAAAAUAAAAAAUAAACACAUGCACGCACGCCACACAUUCACACAAACACAACACAAAUAAGAUAUUUAUUCACAGCACAAACACACAAACACAAGGCUGCUGUUGCGCACAAAACACAUCCACGAACUGCACCCAAUGGCCAACAACAAGUCGCCAACGGAGUCCACACCUCAAGAAGCGUCUGCCUAUGUGCUCACUACUGCUUGGUGUUGCUGCGAGUUCGCUAGGGAUGGCAAUGGGGAGGGGAGGGGAGGGGAGGGGACCAAUCUCCCCGUACCCAUCCCCGAUAUUUUGCGUAUGUCCCCGUCCCCUCCCCAUCCCUGUCAAAAUUAUUUAAGACAAUCCACAUCCCCUCCCCAAAUAAUAACAAGGGAUUCCCGAGGGUCCCCGAUCCCCGAAUAACUAAUACAUUUUUUUUUGUUUUCGAUUUUGAAUUAAUCAUAUUAAAAUAAAAAAUUCAAAUAAAAGUAAAGUUCGAAAUAUAUCUUACAUUAAUAUCCAUUACAAAAGUCACAUAUAUUAAAUUAGUAAGUAACGCAGCAUGCAAGGGAUACAAACUAUCAUGAACAAAUUAAUAGCCUAAUACAAAAUUGUUACAAAUAAAAUUAAAUUUAGAUUCAAAAUUAACUUUUCAAUGGUGGCGUUGGCACUUUAUAAAUGUGGACUAUUCCCUUUACAGCACAAUAGUUAAGUCGAAGCAAAUCAAGAGCAAAUAUUAGAUUAGAUUAGAUAUAAAAAUUGUGAUUUGCUGUGGGCAAUUAUAACAUCUAAAAAUAAAUAAAAAAUAGAUUUAAGAUAAAUAAAAAAUAGAUUUAAGUUUAAAAUAUGUAAUGAAUAUUAAAACUAAAACAAAAGUGUCUUUUUAAUGACCUAAAUAAAAAUUUAGGACUUUAAUUAGUUAAUUAGGCCUAAAAGUUUAAUAAUAUAAAUAUUUUGAUAUUUUUUAUUUUUACCAAUACUUAUAAUUUUAUAAUUCAGAUUUUAUUAUUUAUUUACUAGUAAUUUUAAAAAAUUAAAAUGGGGAAAUGGGUAGGGGAUGGGGAUGGGGAUGGGGAUUCCACCUCAUCCACGUCCCCUCCCCGAAUAAGAAAUUGGGUAAAAAAAUUUCUCCAUCCCUUCCCCGAAAAAAAAAUUGGGUAUGAAAUUAUCCUCAUACCCUCCCCGAAUGGAGAAAAUCCCCGAGGGUACCCGUCCCCGUGGGGAUUUUUGUCAUCCCUAUAAGUGAUGCUUGAUCUUGAUCUUUACUACUACAAGAGUUAGUUAAGAUUCUGAUGUUGAUUAAAUUGAGUCAUAUAGAGUUUUUUUUUUCUUUUAAUCAUGAAUAAUUAUAAAAUUUGUUUGUCUAAUUAAUGCUUAAUUUAAUUUGAAAUACAUUAUGAAAAUACAAGAAGUCUUCCCCGGUUCAACCAAGGAUAUCCGACGCAAGAGGGAAAGAAAUAGUCCACAUGCCUAAGCGUGGAAUUAAUUCUUUUAUGAUGAUUUUUAUUUUUUGAGAAAUAUGUUAAGAAAUAAGAAUAUAGAACAUAAGUAAUGUAAAUGGAACAUAAAAUAUAAGUGACGUAAAUAAAAGGUAAUACAAAUAAAACAUGUACAUAUCUUAAGAAAUAAGAACAUAAAACAUAAAUAAAAAGUAAAACAAAUAAAACAUGUAAGUAUCUUGAGAAAUAAGAACAUAAAACUAAUAUUAAUAUGGAACAUAAAAUAUAAGUGACAUAAAUAAAAGGUAAAAAAGUAAAGUUUAUUUACAUAAAGAGAACGUACUUAAAAAGAAAUUAAAGCAAGCUGAUGAUGACAAUUGACAAGAAGCUAGGAUGUACCUGUGGACGGGCGAGAGGUUUGAUCUUUCGAUGUACCUGCGGACGGUGAGAGGCUUGAUCUUUUGAGAGACAGUGUUGCAAUUUCUCAAGCAAAAUUUGAACAGAAAUGUAAGCUUCUAAGAAAUUUUCAGAAGUCAACCAUAAAUUAUUCAAAGUCCGGAGAAAAAUAUUGUUAUAGCAUCAUAAACGCGGUCACCAGAGAGGCACUGUGUGUACGCUGCCAUCUCUCAAGGGUAUAUUUGUACCAGCAUAUUGUUUUAUAUAAAGUAACCUUCAAUACACCCAUGGAAUGACAAUCCUCAAUUUGUACUCUAAAAGUGUGAAAAUUUUAAUUUAUCUAUUUAAAAGAUGAGGGUCGAUGGGGUGUGUUGAUGAAUUUUUUUAGUUAUCUUCUUUUUAUUUUUAUUUUUUUUUUGGAAUCAAUUGAAUAUUGUUAUUCUAAAUAGUGGUAAAAUUCAACCCAUGUUUUUCAUUUAAGUGAUAGAAUCUCGUGGCUCAUCUUCCACUCUCUGUAAUAGUGUAAAUAUUAAUGACAAUGAAGUACUUAUCCACAAUAAAUCUACAGCUUUCAAAAGUUUGACCAUAAAUCUACAACAAGCAAAUAUGCCAUUGUUGGUAAUAUUCAUGCCAUUACGUGUAACCAAUGACAAAUAUUCUACUAAUAUUAAAUUUAAACGUGAAUAUCAUCAAAUUCUUUUUUUUCUUUUUUGUGAUAAAUAGCUUUUAUUUAUAAAAAUGCUCACCUAAAAAUAUAUCUAGCAGUACUACUCAAUAACAUACACCAUUAUGUUAUAUAUAGUUUAAUCUGCUGUACCGUACAUCCGCCUUGGCCGUACAGCAGUAAUACAUUUUUUUUUGUUUUCGAUUUUGAAUUAAUCAUAUUAAAAUAAAAAAUUCAAAUAAAAGUAAAGUUCGAAAUAUAUCUUACAUUAAUAUCCAUUACAAAAGUCACAUAUAUUAAAUUAGUAAGUAACGCAGCAUGCAAGGGAUACAAACUAUCAUGAACAAAUUAAUAGCCUAAUACAAAAUUGUUACAAAUAAAAUUAAAUUUAGAUUCAAAAUUAACUUUUCAAUGGUGGCGUUGGCACUUUAUAAAUGUGGACUAUUCCCUUUACAGCACAAUAGUUAAGUCGAAGCAAAUCAAGAGCAAAUAUUAGAUUAGAUUAGAUAUAAAAAUUGUGAUUUGCUGUGGGCAAUUAUAACAUCUAAAAAUAAAUAAAAAAUAGAUUUAAGAUAAAUAAAAAAUAGAUUUAAGUUUAAAAUAUGUAAUGAAUAUUAAAACUAAAACAAAAGUGUCUUUUUAAUGACCUAAAUAAAAAUUUAGGACUUUAAUUAGUUAAUUAGGCCUAAAAGUUUAAUAAUAUAAAUAUUUUGAUAUUUUUUAUUUUUACCAAUACUUAUAAUUUUAUAAUUCAGAUUUUAUUAUUUAUUUACUAGUAAUUUUAAAAAAUUAAAAUGGGGAAAUGGGUAGGGGAUGGGGAUGGGGAUGGGGAUUCCACCUCAUCCACGUCCCCUCCCCGAAUAAGAAAUUGGGUAAAAAAAUUUCUCCAUCCCUUCCCCGAAAAAAAAAUUGGGUAUGAAAUUAUCCUCAUACCCUCCCCGUCCUUUAUUGGGAGAACCUGUGCCUUUCGGUUCGAGCUGGAAGUUCUAGUCUGGGUUGUGGUACGGACUUAAAGGUGCUUCCCACAGUUGGGGUCCUCCCCAGGAUACCUCGUGGUCAAAACCAAAAAAAAAAAAAUAACCGGGUUACAGUACUACUACUGGCAGGGGAAAAUGAAAACAUAAAAAACAACGAAUACAAAAGAUUAAUUACAUGAAAGAGAGCAAUAAAUUUGUCUGAGUCUUUUUGUAACAUCAACCAUUGUUGGCCUGUCUACCGGUGAUUCGUUGAGACAUUCAAGAGUGAGUCGUGCACAAGCUUGGAAUUGGUGCUCUGUCUCAGUGCAUGAUAGGUCUUGAACAAUUAUAGGAUCUGCUAUCUCAGUCAAUCUAUUAUUUUGAAGAUAGUUCUUCAAAUAUUCAAUGAGAUGACGGACCGAACCAUGUGUACGAAGUAAAUCCCUGGUGCUCUGUCCAGUCAAAAGCUCCAACAGAACUGUACUGAAAGUAUAAACAUCCAACUUUUCAUUGAAAACGCCUCCCCUCUUGUACUCAGGUGCACUAUAUGUCCAGGCUCCAAACCGACUACGAGUAAUUAUGUGGGUUUCACCUUCGGGAAUGGAUAUGGAUUCCGAAAAAUCAAACAAUUUUGCAACAUUUUCUUCAUUGAACAAGAUGCAUAAUGAGAUGAGAUUUCCAAAAACGAUGGGUCUGGGGAAUCCAACAUGAAGAUAAGCAAGUGCCUGAGCAAUACCCAUUGCAACCUUUAACCUAUGUUUCAACAGUAAUGGUUCAAAGUGAGGUUGGGGAGCGCCGAAAAUACGAUCACGAAGAGUUGUGUACUCUCCAUAUUCAAAAACUAGAAUGGGAAUUGGAGUCUCUAAGCAGCAUCCAAUUAGCUUUAAAAUAUGCUUGUGAUCCAUUUGCGCUGCAUAUACGAUGUUAUUAAUACUAAACUUAUAAGCGCUAUCAGAAUAGGAUUCAUUAUACUUCAAAACAGAAAUUAGGCGCUCCUGCCAAAAGCCCUUGUACAAUUUAUACGUGCUGUCUUGUUUUAUAAAUUUUCUCUCGUCAUAGUUGUUAGUUGCAAUCUCGAGUUCUUUAGCAGAAAAGAUACGAUAAGGGUUGUAUUUACCAUGAGAAGACGC
rnacentral:lncRNA from 1 species